GUAUCCAAUAUCCAGGUAGCAAUAUCACAAAUAGAGAAAUUAUAAAGAGUUAUCAUAUAAGUACCUUGCGAAGCAAUUGAUUACUUGUUUCACUCGUUCUUUGGCCUGUUUGGGUUAAGAAAAGCUAUGUAUGCCGGAUAAUUUCUUUUCCAAUGAUCCAGCUUCUUACAAAAGAGGCAUUCUAUCUGGCUCUUAUCGACUUUCAACUUUUUGCUCUAUUUUGGC
rnacentral:lncRNA from 1 species